GCGGAAGGGAAAUGUUUGGGAGUUGCCAGUGCACCUGUGGCUGUCGGCGCAGACAAACUGCAUCUGAGUCCACACGCCACGCGAUGAUAUGAUCGUUGCUUAACAUACACUUGGCUUCGAUUUCCAGACGCGCUGUUCUCUGCCCGUUGAUUGUUGAGAAUCAUCCUUAGGAAGACAACAACAAUGCUUCGCUACGUCACCUUCUGCAUUGUCGCCUGGUUCGUCAUCACGCACGCAGAUGGCGCGCCCACGACGGUGCUGCCUUCUGGUAUUGUAGUGCAACAGGAGGCUUCGAACCAGAGUGAUCCUGACCCGUGCUCCGUGGCGGGAACCACGUACAGCCAUGGGCAGCAGGUACCACGGGAAGACCCCUGCGAGUUCUGCUUGUGUCUGGACGGAGAGCUGUUCUGCUGGUGGCAGGACUGCCCGCCCUGCAGGGGCAGCCUCUCCUCCACCGCCUGCGUGAACCACUCGUCAACACACGACGCGACCACCACGACACCUGAGGUGACUGCGACCUCUGCAGGCAGCAGCAGUGUGACCUCGCCUCUUACCGCCAGUAGCGACCAACUGACGGAGGUGACACAACUGGCCACUUUGCCUGGCACUGCGACGACCCCCGCCCUGCACCCCAGCGCGCCGACAACAUGCUACGUUAUGGGGACCGAGUACAAGGUUGGGGAGGUGCUUCCCCGUGACACUGGCACAUGUCUGGAGUGUGUGUGCGACAAUGAAGCGAGGGUCACGUGCAGCCCCAAGGACUGUGCCACGCAUGACGACUACAGGUCCAGCAGCAGUCUGGACAUGUUCGACGUGGAUACGUUCUAAAACGUCGCCUGGCAAUGAGAGAGCUGCGACUUCACAUUUUGGCUUGUGGCACAGAGUUAUGAUUCAGAAAGUGACAGGCACCAGGUAGACUCAAACUGGCAUCAUCCACGAACAUUCUUAAAGGUAUAAUAAUGAUGACAAUUACAAAAGGGAAGCCCAUUACACUGCUCCAAAAUGGGAGUUCACUUUUGUGAAUUGAUCUAACAGGCUCCUGUCCAAACUACCGUCAUGAUGCCAUCUACCUACACAUGUAUAAGAAAUUAUUUAAUGAUGUAGAGUUGAAAGCAGCUUUACAUAAGAUGCCCAAGUCUAUCAAAAGACAUAUGAGACUCUGUACUUAAAUGCAUAACCAUAUCAGUAGGGAUGCAUUUUCUUGCUGUUAUAUCUAGUGAUACAUCUUCUAGUUAUGCUACAGUUUUGAAGUUUCAGCUUUCUCCUAAAAGGUGCCAUCACUGGGGGACAAUAUAUAACUCUUAUAUUCCUGUGAGCUAUAGAUUUCACGAUACAAAACAAGAAGAACUGGUUUUGUUGUUCAUAGUAAUGGCCAUUAAUUCUCUAAAAACAGAUGGCACUGGAGUCCAUAUUUUUUCAUGAACUCUUGCUAAUUAUUUUAAGAGCUUCACAAAAUAGAUUCAAAGCUAUUUUAGUGGAUAUUAUGCAGAGCAGUAUUAUGAAACACACCACAAAACCAGUUCAUUGAUUUUGUAAUUAAAUAUUUAUAUUUUUUUCUCAAUGCCCUUAUCCCAUGAACUGGCUACUGAGUCAUAGUUCAUUUCAAGUCGAUGUCAGAGGCAAUUCAGUCAAUAUUUCUUAAAACUGAAGAAUGAAAUUACAUUCAGAAGGAAAUUAACUCAGUGUAAAUUCCUAGGAGUCACUUUAAGAAUCUAUCUUAUUAUUAUUAUUACUAUGCAUAAUUAUAAUACUUUUAUGUAUCUGGGUGGGACAAGAUUAAAAUAGGUUUGUGCAUCAUGGCAGAAACUUUGUCUACUUUCUCUAUACCUGACAAGGUAUCAGCACUUGCAUAACUGUUGUGACAAAAAAUAAAUUUGAAGUUAUUACUGCUGCUGUUGCUAAGGCCUUUAUUAAUAUCAAGCAGAAGUGGUAACCAUCCAGCCAUGACAUUCUGUGACACAGAUGUCAGGAGGAUGAUGAAGAUUACUUAAAAAAAGCAGCUUCAUAAACAUGCCCAUCAGUGGCUAUUAUUGUUCUAAUUUAACCUAGACUUUAUCCCUAGCAGGGAAUUGCUGGUAAAAUUUUCAAGGCAGAUCUUCUUUAAUGGUUUUUUUUCAGUGGUCAAUAGCUUUUGAUUAAGUAUGGAACACUGAUGUAUAUUUAUGCCCACUAUUCAAAGUCCACCAGCUUGGAAGGAAUUGUGGCUUCCCCUUAUGAAUCAUAAUUAAUCAGUGACUCUGAAGGGCGCAAUUGAAAAUCAUGUUUCACUGAAAAGUUCAUGUAUAAAGAGGGACAUUGGGAAUAAAAUACUAAUCAUGUAGGAUCAUUAAUCACACUUGUAGAAGUGAUACUGGUGCAAGCCUAAACUUAUCAUACAUAUAUUAUGGAAUUGAUGGUCAAUGCAGGCAUUCACAAAAUACUAGAAUCUGUUGUCUUUUCCUUUUGAGCUUGGGGCAUAAGACUAAAUGACUGUAGCCAGCUUCCAAUAUGCAGAACCAAAAUAUAAAGUUUGACAUCAUAACAGAUUCUUGAAGUUUGCAACAUACUAUGUAUUAAAAUGGCUUUCAGCAUGUUCGCUAUUAAAAUGGUUUACAAUAUGUUCACUGUUGAAAUGGUUUUCAGUGUGUUCAUAGUUAUAAUGCUCUUCAGUUUCUUCAGGAUUAUAAUGUUUUUCAUUGUUUUGAGUACUGUGAUGCUACCUGAACCAGACUUUUAUCACUUUGAGAACUAACUUCUAGUGAAGAAACAGAAUCUUCCAGAGUGUUAAUAUAUAUUUUGCAAGUUUCUAGCACCCCAUGACUGGAAUUCUUGCCUAAGGUAGAUGUACUGACAGAAAACAAGAGAGGACAGAACACUGUAAUUGUGGAAAUCUUAUCCUUUUUGAGACAUGGAAAGGGCCUUAUAUUCCAGAUUUGGGGCAGUACAAGGUAAAGGUACUUACCUAAAUAAAAUUUUACACAAUAAGCAAUGACAUGGAAGGAAAUCAUAUAGCAGCCAUAGAUCUAAUCAAGAGAAUAUUUAUAUGUUGUGGCUUGAAAGAAGUUUCAUUUCAAUAGCCCCAUGCUCAUAAGAAAGGAGGGUUGUAUGUUACAUAAAGCAAAAAUCAAAUAUUGAACUAGUGAUAGCUGAGAAUUGUAUACACAUAAUCAUAUUCAUUCUCAUUAUAAAUGUAGGAUUGUAACACAUUUGUGUGAUAUUUUAUGAUUUUAUAUAGUUUGAGAGAGUUUAAUAUCAAAUAAUAACAAUAUUUUAAGAUAUGUCAUUGGUCUGUGAUGGGUGAUACUUUAGACACAACAACUUUUAGCAGUGAAUGUCAAUCUUUGUGUAGGGCCUAAAGUACAUACUUGACAGUUUUUCCUUCUUAUAUGUUACAUUGUUUUAUGUGUCAAUUGAACAUAAAGAAAACAAAUGAGCAUCUGUGGUGACAUAGAUAUAGUGUUCAUAGAUAUUAUAUGUGAAAUUGUUGGGAGUUGAUCUAAAGGUUGCUAGGACUUUUAAGCAUUUUAUAUUGUUUUGUAUGGAUGAAAUUGGAUAAUUUAUUUAGCUGAACGUUGCCAAUGAAGAGAAAUAUAAAUCUAUUUGGUUAUUUGGUAAUUAAUACUAAAAUGUUAUAUUCUACAAAACAUUUGUUGAAUGAUUACUACAUAUAACAGAAAACUUAAAACAAAUGAAGAAAUGCAUUAAAUAUUUACAGGUAUGUUAAUUUUAAAAUUAAACAUGUGUUUGUCCCUAAAAUAGUUUAACUAUUAGAGAUGCUUUGAUACUUCAAAAUUAAUGGCAACUACUAAAAUAUAUGUAAAUUAGAGGAAAGAUCAAUAUUCCUUAAAUCGACCAAACAGUGAAGUAGAUAAUGGAUGCAUACAUGAACAAUUGAAAUUAGUUUUAGUAUCAAAUCUAUUCACAUAUCGUGAAGAAGAAAUAAUAUGUGAUAUCAAACAACAAAAGAAUUGUUUAACAAUGUUUCUAUUGAAAUAUGUGUAGUUUAGAGUAACAGAACUUGAUAAUGAACCCAUUCUUGUCUUGAAAUUUCUGAUGGCUUAGCUUAGAACUUCAACCAUUUGGUUACUUCUUCACAUGACAUGAGGGCAUGUCUAGAAAUGCCCAUCCCCUUCCUGAUAUCAUGGGACGUCUUCCAGGACAUUCUGUCUUCUUUUUGGAUGUAUGUUUUAAAACUAAAUGUUUUCUUUUUCACCAUCACAAUCUAAUGGUAAUAAAGUUCUUGAAAAGCUU